AGAGGGUGCUGCAAAGUUUGCGCC
rnacentral:siRNA from 1 species